rnacentral:lncRNA from 1 species
ACUCACACGCAGGUGCUUGUGUGAGCGCACGUUCUCCUCCCCUCCUCCCGCCCCUCCUCCUCCUUCGCUUUCUCCUCCUCCUCCUUCUUCUUUUUUGGUUUUUUGGCCCUUAAUCCUUAUUUUAGGUUCCCCCUGGCCUGGGACCUGCCACUUAUGACCCACACAGGUCUGAAGUGUUCACCGUAACCUAUUAAUGUUGUCAAGUCAGUCUGUGAUGGAAUUCAUAUAGAUAGCAAAUUCCGUCUUCACACUCCCUGAAGCAAUGGCUGCUCUGAAGUUUUUCACCACAAAUUAUUUUUGCCUGUUCUAGAAAGUCAUAUAAGUGCAAACAUAUGAAAUUAACUAGAGAAUUUUCACCAAAAUGGAAGUGUAAACUAGGAUGAUGUCAAGGGAUUCUGGAAACAAAGCUUCCAACAUUGAUAAGGGGCCAACGGAAUUCCCAGGAUGAAGGUGGUAGAGAACCAAUGGAUCACAGACACAUGUGCUGGGAGCCUGGCGAGCAGCCAGUCUGGAUAAAGGCUAAAUGCAAGGCUUCAGAGUGAUUGCUCCGAGAAAGACAAGAGGAGAUGCGGAGAUUACCUGAUGUGUUUGAAUCUGGUGAAGGGAA